AGACAGGCUAAAUUUGGAGGAGACAAGUUUGGGAGCAGGAAAGCCAGUAGGAGUCUACUGCAGGAAUUUAGCUUUCAAAUCUGUACCUGUUGAUGAGAGAACCUCCAGGUUUGUCCCCUACUACCAAUGAUGAGGCAAACACAGAGAGAGGAACCCCUUUGACUAAAGCUGAAUUGUAAAGGACUAAAGCCCUAACUUCUCUUCGAAUGACCUGCAUUCAAAUCAAGUAAGCAGCUGUUCAAAGAAUUCAGUCGGAGGUAUGACUUGUGCAGUGAGAGUUGAAAACGCAAAUCCUGUUCUGUACCUCCCUGUUUAAAGCAUUGCACUGGCUCCUCGUUGCCUUCAGGAUAAAGUCUAUAUUCCCUCCACAUCUCCUUCCCUACUCCUCCAGCAUUCUGACUGGCUGAGCCAACUACUCUUACCCCAGUACAGACAACCUAACUUUGCAGAACUACUCACAAUUCCUAAACACCAUCGAGGAUCAAGCCUCUGCCUUUUUCCCUUCAACAUUUUACUAUGAAAAUUUUCAAAAAUAAAAUUUUAAAAAUUUA